GACCUCUUAGCUCAGUGGUAGAGCGUGUGAUUCCAGCCUAAGUAAGCUCAUAGGUGAUUCCACAAGGUCAUCCGUUCAACUCGGGUAGGGGUCA